UUCUAUUAAGUUCAGCCACAUCUGUAGAAAGCCAUUUUUUCAUUAUAUUACUGCUUAAACUUGGAAGUUCAAAUACUGGAUAGUUUACAAAAGACAAUACAAUUGUAUAAAAGCUGGGGGGCGGGAAUCAAUAUAAUACACUGCAAGCUAUGCAGGGUGAUGGAAUACGAUGCAAAAGCAGGGGAAAUCAUAUGGUUAACACAGUUGGAGGAAAUGGGGGAAAAGACAAAAGAGAAAGGAAGUUCUCAUAGCAGAGACAACAUCUUAGUCAUCGUUAUACACCCGUUAGGGAAAAUAGACGACGUAAACACAUUUAUUGAGCACCUCCUAUAUACCAGGUAUGGUUCCAUAUCCUUUAGUUUUUAUAACCUCACUUCAAAGCAGUUAUUAGUAUGUUUUCAGAGGAAACAUAGUCAGAAAAUUUAGGUAGCUUGCCCAAUGUGUGGUAUACAAUGUGUUUCAUACAUCAGUUGUUGAAUCAAUAUCAUCUGAAUAAAUGAGUACAUAUUUAUUCAAAUGAAAUAUAUCUUGUGAAUUUUCUUUGUUGUGCUUCUUUAUAAUGUUUCUAGGAAAAUGCUAAACUCCUAACUACAGGCUAUGUAUGCAGUAAUAACAACAGUGACAAUAAUGGCUGCAACACAUAGAGACUUCUUGUUUUAUUUAUGUAUAUGAACUAAUUUAAUCAUGACUUAAUACAAGCUUUAUUCCUCAUUUUACAGAUGAGGGAACUGAGAUGUAGAGAGGUGAAAUAGCUUGUUGGUAGUGAAGCUAGGAUUUGAACCAGGCUGUAUCUAACACCUCUUGCUGCUUUUCUUCAUUGUGGCUCACUCAGAUGAAGGUUUCCUUAAUUUCUUCUUUCAGACCUAUUACAACCACUUUGGCAAGAAUUCCCAGCUUUUUCUAUUGUAGAAAAGGCAAAUUGAAAUCAUGGAGUGAAAUACAAGUCUCUUCUGCUUUCAUAUGGCAGGGGAGAUGAACAUAAGUCAACCUUGCUUUUAUGUCCCAUGCUGGAAGAUAUGUACUAUAUACUGUACUGUCCCAUUACAGUAUAUAAAUGUACCGGAAUUGCCUGCCUGAAUAAGGGCAAUAUGUGUAUCUAAAAUUGAAUAAAAAGCUGGCAGGGCCUGGGCACCAGUGAAGCCUUUCCUCUUGAGAAAGACUCUCUGCCUGGCCCCCUGUAAUUUCCAAAUUCAUAUUUCCUGUCUAGUCUCUUCAUUUGUGCACGGCCCUUCUCCAGGUCCCGAACCCAAGCCAUGCAGGACGCGGCUUUCACAGUCCCAGAUUACUACCCCCUGAGAUAAUCAAGAUGUAGUCAUGUCCUCAGGAAUCCACAACCCAGAGGGAGGUCAGGACAAACAGGCAGCUUCAGGCCCAGAUCAGCUACAAAACCAGCCCAGGCUGAAGCUGGGACCAGCUGCAUGGAAUGACCCCCUAUCCUGGUGCCGCCAAUCGAUCAGUGGAGUGCACAACCCUGAGAGGACACACCGGGAAGCCGCUGACUCUCCUAUUGAGAUCUUCUCCCGGGUCCGCCCCUCAACUCUCCACCCUUCAAACCCUCGGGACAGGGCCCGGCUGCUCUCCCUGCAGGAGCAGCAGAGCCUUUCCCUUCCCUUCAGCUUCCUCACGCCCACGCUGCAAGGGCCCUUCCUUUCCCUCCAUAACUUGUUUCCUAAGCCCAUUUCUCCCAGGAAUUGCUUCUUUUACUUCUGUGAUUUGCCAAAUACAUGUUCUUACAGUU